AAAACGACUCUCGGCAACGGAUAUCUCGGCUCUCGCAUCGAUGAAGAACGUAGCAAAAUGCGAUACUUGGUGUGAAUUGCAGAAUCCCGUGAACCAUCGAGUUUUUGAACGCAAGUUGCGCCCAAAACCUUCGGGUCGAGGGCACGUCUGCCUGGGUGUCACGC
rnacentral:rRNA from 1 species